ACAGUUCAGACGAAUCGUGUGUCA
rnacentral:piRNA from 1 species